rnacentral:rRNA from 1 species
GUCCAGACUCCUACGGGAGGCAGCAGUGGGGAAUAUUGGGCAAUGGGCGCAAGCCUGACCCAGCAACGCCGCGUGAAGGAAGAAGGCUUUCGGGUUGUAAACUUCUUUUAAGGGGGAAGAGCAGAAGACGGUACCCCUUGAAUAAGCCACGGCUAACUACGUGCCAGCAGCCGCGGUAAUACGUAGGUGGCAAGCGUUGUCCGGAUUUACUGGGUGUAAAGGGCGUGCAGCCGGAGAGACAAGUCAGAUGUGAAAUCCACAGGCUCAACCUGUGAACUGCAUUUGAAACUGUUUCCCUUGAGUAUCGGAGAGGUCAUCGGAAUUCCUAGUGUAGCGGUGAAAUGCGUAGAUAUUAGGAGGAACACCAGUGGCGAAGGCGGCUUACUGGACUGUAACUGACGUUGAGGCUCGAAAGCGUGGGGAGCAAACAGGAUUAGAUACCCGCGUA